CCCGGCGGGCCAGAGCUUCCUGGCUGCGUUAUGGAGGUGAUUAAGUGUCCGGAGCACGGGGCCGUCUGCUUCUUAAAGACCGGCGUCCGCGAUGGCCCGAACAAGGGAAAGAGCUUCUACGUAUGCCGGACGAACACAUGCGGCUUCGUGCAGGCCACCGAUAUUCCUGUUUCUCAUUGUUUAUUGCAUGAGGAGUUUGUGGUAGAGCUUCAGGGUUUGUUUCUACCACAGGGCAAGAAAGAAUGGAGGUGAGUGUCCAGAAGAAACAUCUAGAUGCAACACACACACACACACACACACACA
rnacentral:lncRNA from 1 species